CCUAGACCUAUUUAAGAGCUGGUUACCAGUGGGGAAGGAUCUCUGCUGGAGAUUGCCUCUGCUGGUGUCUUGUGAGUGAGCUCAGGAUAGGGCAGCUGAACAAGGAAAAUCAAUAACAUCAUACAAGUCUCCGGUCCCACCUUCAGCAGACAUCCAACAGAGCUUCCCCCAGUACAUACUAACCUGAUAAGGAAAAAGCCUAUCACUUUACCAAGGAGAUGCCCAGCAGAGGACACCUAUGAGACAGCUGUGAGUAGUGACAAUGUUACAAGCACAGAAGAUGCAAACUUGGCAUUCAGAACAGGUGUCAUCAAGAGGAACAUGACAGGCACUCGGGAUGAUGUAUAAACCUGGCAACCAUUUUGAGGCACAUGAAGGAGAAGAAAAUAAUCAGUAGUAGUGAGCAUAGAGUCACCAACAGCAAGUCAUGCCUGACCAUCCUCAUAAGUUUAUGUUAAUGAACUCACCAACCUUAUGGAGGGAAGAGCAGUGAAUACUGUCUUAGCAGACUUCAGCAAAGUCUUUCAUGGUGUUUCCCAGCAAGGAGAAAUGUAGUCUUGUCCCUGGGGAGGAACAUCUCCCGGCACCAGGACGUGCUGGGGGACUCCAGCUGGAAAGCAGCUUGAAAUAAAAGGCUUUGGGGUGCCGUCAGAGACACAAAGUUGGCUGUAAGUCAGCAGCGUGCUCCUGCUGCUAAGAAGGCUAAUAGUAUUCUUGGCUAUAUCAGGUAAAGUAUCACCAACAGGUCAUAAGAGGUGACCCUUCUCCUCUACUCAUCACUGGUGAGUUCUCCACAUAUGGAGAACUAUGUCCAAUUCUGAAGACGUGGACAUACUGGAAAGAGUCCAGGAGAGGGUUAUGAAGAUGAUCAAAGAAGUGGAACAUAUCUGUCCUGUGAGGAGAUGCCGUUUCGUUUGGGGAAGAGGAAGCUCAAAGGGAAUGUUACCAACAUGUAAAAAUACCUGAAGGGAGAGUGCUCUUUUCAGUGGGGCCCAGUGACAGGACAAGAGGCGAUGGCCACAAACUGGAACACAAGAGGUUCUGUCUGAACAACAGGAAAAAUUCUUCUGCUGUGCAGUUGGUGGAAAACAGCCACAGGUUGCCCAGGGAAGUUGUGGAGUCUCCCUGUCUCCCUCCCUGGAGAUUUUGAAAAGCUACCUGGACCUGGUCUUGAAGAACCUGCACUGGUUUGGACCAGAUGGCCUCAAGAGAACCCUUCCCACCUCAGCUGUUCUGUGACUGUGUGAUCAGACUUCCCUUGUCACAGCUGUGUAGAUCUGUCCUCUCGAGUGGCCUGAACUUUGCAAGAAAUAACAAGGAUUGCAACUGUGACUUCACCUUGGAUAGUAGCCAUGGAGAUAUGGGAAAGAGAAGACUUUUCCCUUCUCUACCUACACAUCUAAACAAGGGUCAGUGUCAGUCUGUUUCCAGACUUUCUGCUCUUGGCUGAAAAAGAUGAACAAAAAGCACAAGAGAGUCUAAUUACAGCCUACAUAUUCACCAGGAUGCAUGACGUCAGUUUGGAUUCUCCAGUGUGCUAUUCAAGCUGUAUCUCUCAAUAAGAUAUGCUUGGGAGAAACACAAUCUGUUGUUCCCUUUAGUAAAAACCUCUGUAUAUUGCCAGCUACAAAUACAGGACAGUAAGAGAGCACACUAAACAACCACAAAAGUAGCCAUAAAAUAAAAACAAAAAGAAGUA